GACGAACGCUGGCGGCGUGCCUAAUACAUGCAAGUCGAACGGGGUUAUUUAGCUGAAGCCUUCGGGCAGACGCUUUUUAACCUAGUGGCGGACGGGUGAGUAACGCGUGGGCAACCUGCCCUUUAGCCCGGGAUAACUUCCGGAAACGGGAGCUAAUCCCGGAUGCAGAGAGAAUGUCGCAUGACGAUCUCUCGAAAGCUUCGGCGCUAAAGGAUGGGCCCGCGUCCCAUUAGCUAGUUGGUAGGGUAACGGCCUACCAAGGCGACGAUGGGUAGCCGGCCGGAGAGGGUGAACGGCCACACUGGGACUGAGACACGGCCCAGACUCCUAAGGGAGGCAGCAGUAGGGAAUCUUGCGCAAUGGGCGAAAGCCUGACGCAGCGACGCCGCGUGAGGGAUGAAGGCCUUCGGGUCGUAAACCUCUGUCCUUGGGGACGAUAAUGACGGUACCCAAGGAGGAAGCCCCGGCUAACUACGUGCCAGCCGCCGCCGUAA
rnacentral:rRNA from 1 species